UAGCAGCUGAGCAGCGGCGGGAAAUCGAGUCAGAAAGGGUUCUGCAUUGUUGAACCAGAAUGACAUUGAUUGACAGGGUCUGAAGGAAAGCUGAUAGCCAUGUUUGGCAUGCUGGUUUAAAGGACAGACGUGACUGCCGAUCCAAAGUCGGUGGAGAAUGAAUUCAGCGGGCUAUCGCUCCAAGUGGUCACACUGCGUGAGAGAGAAGCCUUGAGGAAAAGGAAACACAGAGCUGCCGACAUGGGCCACCGCUGCUCACGAGGACCCGUUGCUCUGUAGCCAACGUGAGUAGGACCUUCAAGACUGUUAACCCUCACAAGGACGCCAUCCCAAGCCAUGUCUUCAAAGCACGUGCAGACCAUCUGGCUGGAGUGUUCAUGGACAUUUUUAACCUCUCUCUAUCCGUCUCUGUCGUCCGCACUUGCUACAAUAUGGCCUCCAUUGUUCCUGUACCCAAGCAAGCCAAGAUCCAUGGACGAUGCAAUCGUCGUUGCACUGCACACCACCCUAUCCCACAUGGACAAGAGGACUACCUACCAUAUGUGAGAAUGCUGUUCAUCGGCUCAGAUUCUAACACCAUAGUGCCCUCCAGAAAUGGUGUAAAAGUCAACUUAAAAUAUUGUCAUAUUGUCACACCCUGACCAUAGUUUGCUUUGUAUGUUUCUAUGUUUUGUUUGGUCAGGGUGUGAUCUGAGUGGGCAUUCUAUGUUGGAUGUCUUGUUUGUCUGUUUAUGUGUUUGGGCCUGAUAUGGUUCUCAAUCAGAGGCAGGUGUUAGUCAUUGUCUCUGAUUGGGAACCAUAUUUAGGUAGCCUCUUUGGUGUUGGGUUUUGUGGGUGAUUGUUCCUGUCUCUGUGUUUGCACCAGAUAGGGCUGUUUUGGAUUUUCACAUUUCUUGGUUUUGUUAGUCUAUUCACGUAUAGUUUCUUUAUUAAAGAACCAUGAGUAAUAACCACGCUGCGUUUUGGUCCGCCUCUCCUUCGACACAAGAAUCCUGUGACGCAUAUAAUAAUCAUAGAUCCAUCUUCUGUAUAAAUAGCCUUUAGAAUAUAUGUAAACAAACCAUAAAUGUCUACAUUUGUGUAUCCUUGGAAAGCUUAGAGUGCUAUUAUAUGAUUCAGUAUCAAUACUAUGUCUUUGGAUUGACUGCAUUGUUUGAAUGGAAUGUUGGUAUAUUGGCAGUUAAUACAUGUUUUA